UUCCGGUUGAUCCUGCCGGAGGCUACCGCUAUUGGAGUUCGAUUAAGCCAUGCGAGUCGCGAGAAAUUAGAUUCUCGGCGUACCGCUCAGUAACACGUGGGUAACCUGCCCUAUGCUGGAUAAUAACCUCGGGAAACUGAGAAUAAUGAUCCAUAGUUCACUACGCCUGGAACGGUGAGUGGAUGAAAGCUCCGGCGGCAUAGGAUGGGCCUGCGGCGUAUCAGGUUGUAGGGGGUGUAACGUACCCUCUAGCCCUCUACGCGUACGGGUGUUGGGAGACAUAGCCCGGAGAUGGAUUCUGAGACACGAAUCCAGACCCUACGGGGUGCAGCAGGCGCGAAAACUUGGCAAUGCGAGCAAUCGUGACCAGGGAACUCCAAGUGGCUGGGGUAAGACCCAGUCUUUUCAGAACUCUUCAAAGGUUUUAGAAUAAGGGGUGGGUAAGGACGGUGCCAGCCGCCGCGGUAAUACCGGCGCCUCAAGUGGUAGUCGCUUUUAUUGGGCCUAAAACGUCCGUAGCCGGUUUGGUACAUUCGUGGGUAAAUCAACUCGCUCAACGAGUUGAAUUCUGCGAGGACGGCCAGACUUGGGACCGGGAGAGGUGUGGGGUACUCUCAGGGUAGGGGUAAAAUCCUGUCAUCCUGAGAGGACCACCUGUUGCGAAGGCGCCACACUAGAACGGAUCCGACGGUCAGGGACGAAGCCUAGGGGCACGAACCGGAUUAGAUACCCGGGUAGUCCUAGGUGUAAACGCUGUGGACUUGAUGUUGGGGGUGCUCCGAGCACUCUCAGUGUCGAAGCGAAGGUGAUAAGUCCACUGCCUGGGAAGUACGGUCGCAAGGCUGAAACUUAAAGGAAUUGGCGGGGGAGCACCGCAACCUGAGGAUUGUGCGGUUUAAUUGGAUUCAACGCCGG
rnacentral:rRNA from 1 species